UUUUCUUUCAUUUCUUCUUAUUAUUACUAUGCCCGCCCUUUUUAAGCGAAGCUAUUUUCUGAGCCAGAGAACUCCUUUUGGGGGUGGUGGUGAUGGUGUUUAAUUUGUUUAAUGUGUCUUUGUAAAAGCAAAUAAUUCGGUAGAGAAAGCGAGGUCGUCAGGAAAUUGAAUGUGUUUUGUCUCCAGCCAAGUUUCCCUUGAGUGAUUUCGUUUGCUUUCUGUCUGGCACAGCAGCCUCUGCACUGGGACCUCCAGGCCCGGCAGACAGGAAGCCUGCCCACCGAGCAUCUCUUCACUUUGGGGGUCAGCACCCCUCAGCCCAACCACCUAGGUAACUACCCUCUGGAAGAACAGGAAAAAACGUGGCCUUGCAGAUUCAUUGUAGAGAGAGGAGAAAAUAGGAUUAGGCCGAAGUACGAGCAAGGGUCUUGUCUAGUAGCCCAGGAUGGUCCUAGGAGAAGAUGGUUCCCCAUGGGAUUUGCUAAUGGCAUAGGUAGAGUUAACUGCUAAGAAACUCUGGAUUCAAGACAAGGGCAACACUGGAGGAGCUGUCACCUCAGCUAAGGGAUCUGUUCCCAGGGAUCUGCCUAUAACACAGCCUGUGGAUUGCUCUGGAGCUAAUGGCUAGACAACUUAAACAUGGAAGUAAACAGCUUGGUGGCCUGGCGCUCUUCCUGUUGAUGUGACUCUCUGUGCUCACCUUGCAGCAAGUCUCCUCACAAGGUGGUCAUAUUUGGCAGCUUGGUGGGAAGCUUAACAAGCUGUUCUUUGGGACUCUUACCAGCAGCUGCUGUCCGGGUUGGGUCUUGAACGCCCUGAUAGAAAGGAAGGCCUGGCAACGCCAGAGGGACUUGAACAGUGAAAAAGACAUACCCAAAGCAAAGCCAGGGUCCCAAGGAGGAGCAGAAAAUAGAGGCUGGAACCUGUGACUGUCAACUUGUCGGGUCUUGAAUUACAGGAUCUAAGAGACUAACCUCUGGGCAUACAUGGAAAAAUGUUUCUAGAUUGAAUUAACCGAGGUUGCAAGGCCCUCUCUAACUGGGUGACACCAUCACUGUUGGGACCCAAAGAAGAAAGCAGACUGAGAACCAGCAUUCAUUACUCUCUGAUUCCUGAUUAUGGAUGCAAUGUGACCAUCUACCUCAAGCCCGUGCCACCAUGUCUUCCCUGCCACAAUGAACAGUAUCCUCAAACUGUGAGUCAAAAUAAACUCUUCUUCCCUUAAGUUGUUUUUGUCAACUGUUUUAUCACAACAAUGAGAAAGUCAAUUUAUAUAGAGCCACAGAUUCACAGAACUACAAAUCUGUAUAUCCACAGAACCACAGAGCCUCAGAGCUACAGAACCACAGAUCCAUAGAUCCAUAGAACCACAGACCCACAGAGCCACAGAACCACAGAUCCAAUAGAUCCAUAGAUCCACAGAUUCACAGACCCACAGAUGUACAGAUCCACAGAUCUGUAUGAAUGUACAGAAUCACAGAUUCACAGAGCCAUAGAUCCACAGAACCACAGAUCCAUAGAACCACAGAUCCAUAGAUCCAUAGAUCUACAGAUGCAUAGAUCUGUAUAUUCACAGAAUCAUAGAUUCACAGAACCACAGCUAUAUCCACAGAUCCACAGAUCUAUAGAACCACAGAUUCACAGAACCACAGAUCUAUAGAUCCAUAGAACCACAGAACCACAUAAAUCCUCAGAUCCACAGAUCUGUAGAACCACAGACCCACAGAUCGUAUAUCCAUAGAACCAUAGAACUGCAGAACCACCGAGCCACUGAGCCACUGAGCCACUGAGCCACUGAUCCACAGAGCCACAGAACAACAGAUACACAGACCACAGCAGCAGAACCUUCACACUGAGAGGAAAGCCCAGGUUCUGGGUAUGGGAAUGAGGUCUGAGACCAGACCCCAGCAUCCAAAUGUUGUCUGGUUUCCCUGCCUCAUUUUGGUGGCUCAGGUCCCGAAGGCCAUACUUUAAAAGCACUGAACUCAAAACCAGUAUCUCUUCCUGUCAAGAUUUCACAAUAUUUGGUAAAAUGAGAAAAAUAGAACAAUGACCUUUUUCUUGCAUUUUUGCAUCAGUAAUUUUAAAAAAAACCUCACAUGCAGAAAAUAUAAGUGAACAGUUUAAUCAGUUGCUAGAAAGCAAAUGUGAAACACAUCAACAC